rnacentral:rRNA from 1 species
GGUGACCUGCGGAGGGAUCAUUACACAAUAACAAGGCGGGCUGGACACCCCCCGCUGGGCACUGCUUCACGGCGUGCGCGGCGGGGCCGGCCCUGCUGAAUUAUUCACCCGUGUCUUUUGCGUACUUCUUGUUUCCUGGGUGGGCUCGCCCGCCCUCAGGACCAACCACAAACCUUUUGCAAUAGCAAUCAGCGUCAGUAACAACGUAAUUAAUUACAACUUUCAACAACGGAUCUCUUGGUUCUGGCAUCGAUGAAGAACGCAGCGAAAUGCGAUACGUAGUGUGAAUUGCAGAAUUCAGUGAAUCAUCGAAUCUUUGAACGCACAUUGCGCCCUUUGGUAUUCCAAAGGGCAUGCCUGUUCGAGCGUCAUUUGUACCCUCAAGCUUUGCUUGGUGUUGGGCGUCUUUUGUCUCCAGUUCGCUGGAGACUCGCCUUAAAGUCAUUGGCAGCCGGCCUACUGGUUUCGGAGCGCAGCACAAGUCGCGCUCUUUGCCAGCCAAGGUCAGCGUCCAGCAAGCCUUUUUUUCAACCUUUGACCUCGGAUCAGGUAGGGAUACCCGCUGAACUUAAGCAUAUCAAUAAGCGGAGGACAAGAAACCAACAGGGAUUGCCCCAGUAACGGCGAGUGAAGCGGCAACAGCUCAAAUUUGAAAUCUGGCUCUUUUAGAGUCCGAGUUGUAAUUUGCAGAGGGCGCUUUUGGCUUUGGCAGCGGUCCAAGUUCCUUGGAACAGGACGUCACAGAGGGUGAGAAUCCCGUACGUGGUC